AGCUGUGUGGUCCAUGCACAUUUCCUCGAUGGCAAAAUGUCAUAAAUCCUAGUUUUAAAAUAAAUGCCAACAGUCUGUCCCGAACAUCCCCAGCGCAUUCUCCGAUUCCCUUCUGGUUGCGUCAGUCCUCGCUUUGGGGCUGAGUCCUCCUGGCCGGACCACCUGCUGUUUGAGGGGUCUGCGGGUGUCCCGCGGCGGCCGGAAAUGUUGUGAGUGAAGAAUGAGACCAAGUGUGUGUGACGCCGACUCAGCCUGUUCAUCAUUGUAAUUGGGAGGUAUCACAGCACGUGGCCCUCGUGCCUCAUCAUAAGAGGAUCCUGGGAAAUGAGAAGGGAUAGAAAAAAGACCAACAAACGGAGAAGCACAGACAGCAGGGUGACAAGGCCACUGAGACUGGACCACAGCCACCAGGGCCAAUAGAACCGCUGAGAUGGGACAGAAGCAGGCAGAUAUCUGCACCUGUACAAGAUUGAUGCCACCCAGGAGACAAGAUUCAGCUUCCUCCUCCAUGCAUC